GUCCACGCCGUAAACGAUGGUCACUAGAUGUGGCGGGUGUCGACUCCCGCCGUGUCGUAGCUAACGCGUUAAGUGACCCGCCUGGGGAGUACGGCCGCAAGGCUAAAAACUCAAAGGAAUUGACGGGGACCCGCACAAGCAGCGGAGCAUGUGGAUUAAUUCGACGCAACGCGAAGAACCUUACCUGGGCUUGACAUACUGCUGACCUCUGUGGAAACACAGACUUCCUUCGGGACAGCAAUACAGGUGGUGCAUGGCUGUCGU
rnacentral:rRNA from 1 species